GGCCUCUCAGUUCCGCUUAAUCACACAGGUCCAGUGUGUGCUUGGUGUGUUUUCUGGGGGGCAGAGGAAGGCUCUCCUAAUCACAACAGACCUGCCCAGAAGGGCCUCUCUCUUUCUAGGAGUAUGAUAGCU
ensembl:snoRNA